rnacentral:rRNA from 1 species
CACGCCCUAAACGAUGUCUACUAGUUGUUGGGUCUUAAUUGACUUAGUAACGCAGCUAACGCGUGAAGUAGACCGCCUGGGGAGUNACGCGAAAAACCUUACCUACCCUUGACAUGGCAGGAAUUCCGAAGAGAUUUGGAAGUGCUCGCAAGAGAACCUGCACACAGGUGC